rnacentral:rRNA from 1 species
GUGGGGAAUAUUGCACAAUGGGCGAAAGCCUGAUGCAGCGACGCCGCGUGAGGGAUGACGGCCUUCGGGUUGUAAACCUCUUUCAGCAGGGACGAAGCGCAAGUGACUGUACCUGCAGUAGAAGCACCGGCUAACUACGUGCCAGCAGCCGCGGUAAUACGUAGGGUGCGAGCGUUGUCCGGAUUUAUUGGGCGUAAAGAGCUUGUAGGCGGCUCGUCACGUCGGGUGUGAAAACUUGCGGCUUAACCGCAAGCCUGCACCCGAUACGGGCGGGCUAGAGUUCGGCAGGGGAGACUGGAAUUCCUGGUGUAGCGGUGGAAUGCGCAGAUAUCAGGAGGAACACCGGUGGCGAAGGCGGGUCUCUGGGCCGAUACUGACGCUGAGAAGCGAAAGCGUGGGGAGCGAAC